AUGGAAGGUGACUCAGACGGCAGCCUAGAAGUCGUGUGUUCAGUGCAGGAAGCCAGGCACAGAAGGCGGGGGCGGGGAGGAGGACCCAGGAUGGCUCGGUGGGUGCGGGACGCUGGGCGUCCGUGUGACGUCACAUCCUAUGCACGACUCUCCCCUUCUGUGCAGAAGUGCGAGCUCCUUAGGAAAGCUUUCUGCCAGGCAGCACCUCUGUUCACCUUCCCAGGGACCCCAGCAUCCUGCCUCAGCUUCCCAGACGCUGCACUGCCCAGUCCAGUCCCUGAUGGGCCCACAGGGCAAGCCACAGGGAGGCAGGAAGGCCGCACGGAACGCACGCCUGCACCCGUAGGCCAGCUCUGUCCUCAGCACAGGCCCCAAUGGGCCCAGCCGGAGCCGCUGCAGAUCCGUGCACACCUACCACCGGCAGUCCUGCAACACCGCUCAUCGCUGCCCCCCACCCCGGAAGAAGACACAUCCAGACAGGGUCCCUGUGAAUACCAGACCAAGUUGCCACAUGAGAGGAUGAACCCGUUCGAGACGGAUCGUAAUGCUGGGCCCAUACUGGCCCACGGAGCCUGGUGACAUGGAAAAUGUAAAGGGAGAAAUCUUAAGGCCAAUGGCACCGCCCGAAGCCCCAGCUGGAAAUCAACACUAGCGGGGUCCCAGGCAGGCGGUGCAGGCACCUGCUGACCUGUGUCUACCCUGCCCCUCCCCUGAACAUUCUGGAAACCUUCUCUGAACUGAGGG
rnacentral:lncRNA from 1 species